ACCCGCUGAAUUUAAGCAUAUGAGUAAGCGGAGGACAAGAAACUAAACAGGAUUCUAUCAGUAAUGGCGAGUGAAUGGAGACGAGCUCACUUUGGAAAUUGGGGCUUCUUUGGCCUUGAAUUGUAGUCUCGAGGUGUGCUGCCAGUGGAGGCGCAGAUGUUGGCCUCUUGGAAGAGAGCAUCAGUGAGGGUGAGAGUCCUGUCUGUCUUUUGCAGCCCUCCGCAUACGGUGCCCUUUCUGCGAGUCAUGCUCCUUGGAAUUGGAGUGUAAAAAAGGUGGUAAAUUUCAUCUCAAGCUAAAUAUUGGAUCGAGACCGAUAGAAAACAAGUACCAUGAGGGAAAGAUGAAAAGGACUUUGAAAAGAGAGUUAGAAGUGCCUGAAAUUGCUGAAAACGAAGAGAAUGGAACUAGCACAGCUUUGCGAGAUUGUCACGUGGUAAAGUGCACCAGCGACACGUGUUGCUUCUCGCCUCGUGCGUCCACUCCAGCUUGUGGCCGAGGAAACCGCUGGGGACAUGGUGCUCAGCCUGCGGGCGGGCAAAUGUUCUUUGCAGAACUCGUUCGCGAACUGAAGCUUGACUGUCCAGUCGCAGCAUCUGGGUAGCUCUGAUGUGCCUGCUGGCGCGUGCUGCCUGGAUGUUCUUCCUGGCAUCGGGACGAUGAACUGGUUCCUUUCAACCCGUCUUGAAACACGGACCAAGGAGUUUAACGUAUGUGUGAGUCCACGGGUGGUGAACGCCUGCCGGCAAAGUGAAAGCGACUGCUGGGAUGUGUGCGUCAGCAGCCAACCUAUUGAUUGAGACAGGCUUGAGAUUGAGCACAUCUGUUAGGACCCGAAAGAUGGUGAACUAUGCUUGAGAAGGGCAAAGUCAGGGGAAACUCUGAUGGAGGCUUGUAACGAUACUGACGUGCAAAUCGUUCGUCGCACUGGGUAUAGG
rnacentral:rRNA from 1 species